GGGCGUGUAGCUCAGCUUGGAUAGAGCAUUAGCCUUCUAAGCUAAGGGUCGUGGGUUCGAAAGCCGUAAUUUUCCCACCACGCUCA
rnacentral:tRNA from 1 species